UUGUAGAGGCAACCAGGGAAAUAAAGCUGAUUAUAUCAAAGUCACGUGUUUAGCCCACUGAAAACAUUAACUCUACUUCGCCGUGAACUGACGGCAGAUUAAUUCUUUAAUGAAACGUGUUAAUAUUAUAUCUAUUUGAAUAAUGACUAGAUCUAAAUGACUUAAUUGUAGACGGAAAUAGUUGAUUACAGCGAGGUUAUUCAACCUGGGAAAUACCAUUCUCGUACAUUUGGUUCGUUCUUUGAUACAACCAGGACUGUCUUUACCCGUAUGACGAUACACCGCACAAGUUACACCCAUAAUGAACCUGGAGGAGAAUAGUCCCUAAGGCUUUUGAAUAUUCAGAUUUCAAAAUGGCAGAAGGAGACGAGGUAUAUACGUGGUCAGAGACUGGAAGCGAUCAUAGAUACAGCGGCCUAUACAGCCGUCACUCUCGAAAUUAUGUGGAAAGUGUGUCCAUAGAGAUCUGUACUAUAAUGACCCGGCUUGGGUACGGCGAGAUGAUGAGACGGUGGCGCGUUGAGAAGUACAGGGAGUAUGACAGGCUGUGGAAUGCA